rnacentral:tRNA from 2 species
CGGCACGUAGCGCAGCCUGGUAGCGCACCGUCAUGGGGUGUCGGGGGUCGGAGGUUCAAAUCCUCUCGUGCUGACCA